GCGGGAAAGGCAAAGUUAAAAUGGAGUUGGAAGGGGUGGAUUAGCUUUAUAUACUUUUUCUAUUCAACUUGUUCAGAGGAAUUAUUACACACUUCUAAAGAACAUUUAUUAUAUUCAACUCGUUAAGACAAUGACACAAAACAUGCACACCAGGCCUUUGGAAAGAGAGGCAUGAGGAUUGUCGGCAGAGGACAACAAAUCAAAACACAAUUCACCAAGAAUAUGCUUAUCUUUGCCUAUAAGGGUCUUAGGAUGAAGUUCGAGGUGGGAAGUCAAAAUUCAACACAUCCA